rnacentral:rRNA from 1 species
UGGGGAAUAUUGGGCAAUGGGCGCAAGCCUGACCCAGCAACGCCGCGUGAAGGAAGAAGGCUUUCGGGUUGUAAACUUCUUUUAUGAGGGGCGAAGGAAGUGACGGUACCUCAUGAAUAAGCCACGGCUAACUACGUGCCAGCAGCCGCGGUAAUACGUAGGUGGCAAGCGUUAUCCGGAUUUACUGGGUGUAAAGGGCGUGUAGGCGGGCUUGCAAGUCAGAUGUGAAAACUAUGGGCUCAACCCAUAGCCUGCAUUUGAAACUGUAGGUCUUGAGUGAUGGAGAGGCAGGCGGAAUUCCGUGUGUAGCGGUGAAAUGCGUAGAUAUACGGAGGAACACCAGUGGCGAAGGCGGCCUGCUGGACAUUAACUGACGCUGAGGCGCGAAAGCGUGGGGAGCAAACAGGAUUAGAUACCC